rnacentral:rRNA from 1 species
UACGGGGGGGGCAAGCGUUGUUCGGAAUUACUGGGCGUAAAGGGCUCGUAGGCGGCCAACUAAGUCAUACGUGAAAUCCCUCGGCUUAACCGGGGAACUGCGUCUGAUACUGGAUGGCUUGAGUUCGGGAGAGGGAUGCGGAAUUCCUGGUGUAGCGGUGAAAUGCGCAGAUAUCAGGAGGAACACCGGUGGCGAAGGCGGUUCUCUGGGCAUGUCCUGACGCUGAGGAGCGAAAGUGUGGGGAGCGAACAGG